rnacentral:rRNA from 1 species
GGGGAAUUUUGGACAAUGGGGGAAACCCUGAUCCAGCAAUGCCGUGUGCAGGAUGAAGGCCUUCGGGUUGUAAACUGCUUUUGUACGGAACGAAAAGGCCCCUUCAAAUAAAGGGGGCCCAUGACGGUACCGUAAGAAUAAGCACCGGCUAACUACGUGCCAGCAGCCGCGGUAAUACGUAGGGUGCAAGCGUUAAUCGGAAUUACUGGGCGUAAAGCGUGCGCAGGCGGUUAUGUAAGACAGAUGUGAAAUCCCCGGGCUCAACCUGGGAAUUGCAUCAGUGACUGCAUAGCUUGAGUGCGGCAGAGGGGGAUGGAAUUCCGCGUGUAGCAGUGAAAUGCGUAGAUAUGCGGAGGAACACCGAUGGCGAAGGCAAUCCCCUGGGCCUGCACUGACGCUCAUGCACGAAAGCGUGGGGAGCAAAC